UUUUUUAAGAGUUUGAUCCUAGCUCAGAAUGAACGCUGGCGACGUGGAUAAGGCAUGCAAGUCGAAUGGUUGUUCCUCGCUGCGCUUGGAACGAAAUGCUUAAUGACCAAUAAUCAAUUUUCAUUGAAUUUUCAAUUACCAAUUUUUAAAUGUUUGAAAAUUGUAACAUUGAUCAUUCAUUGUUUAUUGAGAUUUGAAAAUUGAAAAUUUCGUUUCCGAGCAUGACGAGGAGCGACCAUGGCAGACGAGGUAGUAACGCGUAGGAACUCACCCUAAAGUUGAGCAUAACCCAUCGAAAGAUGGAAUAAUUCUCAAUAGCCCCGUCACUUUCGAGUCUUUGUAUGAUAAACUUAUGUAUAUGUAUCAUGUAUAUAUACUCAAGUCUUUUAAGCACAAUCGUCUUUAUGUUGGUUAUACAACUAAUGUAAAAAGACGAUUACAAGAACAUAAUAGCAAUAAUUUUCCAAAAACUUUUACUUAUCGUGGUAGACCAUGGGUAUUGGUUUAUUGUGAAUCUUUUCUAGAUGAAACCGAUGCGAGAAAAAGAGAAAAAAGUUUGAAAAAUUAUGGCAAUGUUUUUGGUUUGCUUAAGAAACGUAUUAUACGAAGUUUGGAAAGUGACGGGUAAAGAUUUAUUGCUUUAGGAGAGGCCUGCGUAGUAUCAGCUUGUUGGUAGUGUAAUAGACUACCAAGGCUAUGACGCUUAGGGGGGGUGAGAGCCCGGUCCCCACCGAUGGUACUGAGACACGGACCAUACACCUACGGGUGGCCGCAGUCGAGAAUCUUCCGCAAUGGACGAAAGUCUGACGGAGCGACGUCGCGUGAUCGAUGAAGUCCUUCGGGAUGUAAAGAUCUUUUUUAGGUGAAGAAGUUUAUUGACAUUAACCUACGAAUAAGGGGUUGCUAAACUCGUGCCAGCAGCAGCGGUAAUACGAGUACCCCGAGCGUUAUUCGGAAUCAUUGGGCGUAAAGGGUCUGUAGGCGGUUAUAUUAGUCUUUUGUCAAAAACCAGGGCUCAACCCUGGAUCCGCAAAAGAAACGGUAUAACUUGAGGAUGUGAGAGGUGUACGGAACUCACGGUGUAGGGGUGAAAUCCGUUGAUAUCGUGGGGAACACCGAAAGCGAAGGCAGUACACUGGCACAUUCCUGACGCUGAAAGACGAAAGCGUGGGUAGCGAAUGGGAUUAGAUACCCCAGUAGUCCACGCCCUAAACGAUCUUCUCUGGCUUUUCGGAGUAUCGACCCUCUGAGAGGCGAAGCUAACGCGUUAAGAGAAGCGCCUGGGGAGUACGAGCGCAAGCUUAAAACUCAAAGGAAUAGACGGGGACUCGCACAAGCGGUGGAUCACGUGGCUUAAUUCGAUGGUAAACGAAGAACCUUACCAAGAUUAGAAACUUAUCUGAAAGUCUUUUGAAAAUUAGACCCUCUUCGGACAGAUAAGCAGGUGAUGCAUGGCCGUCGUCAGUUCGUGGUUUGAAUUGUUCCCUUAAGUGGGGUAACGAACGCAACCCUCGUCGUCUGUUAUAUUUGUCAGACGAGACCGCCCAGCCUUUUGUUCGCAAACAAACAAAAGGAAUUUUUAAUUUCAAAUUUUCAAUUUUAAAUCAAUUUUUAAUGAUUUAAUUUUCUAAUUUUUAAACAUUAAAAACAUUAAGAGCCUGUUUAAAAACUUCAUUUCGGCUACCCAGCACUUUCUUUGUAUUACAAAGAAAGUGCUGGGUGGAAAUUUCGUUUCGAAAGCAAGUUCUUAAACAGGCUCUAAGAAAUUAGAUAUUCAUUCAAAAUUCAAAAUUGAUAAUUUAAAAUUUGUCUUUUGCGUUUGUGCGCAAAAGGCUGGGAGGAAGGUGAGGAUGACGCCAGGUCAGCAUGUCCCUUGAUAUCUUGGGCUGCACACAUGAUACAAUGGGUAGUACAAUGGGUCGCGACAGGGUAACCUUGAGCUAAUCCUUAAAACUAUCCCCAGUUCGGAUUGAGGGCUGCAACUCGCCCUCAUGAAGUUGGAAUCGCUAGUAAUGGUGGGUCAGCUAUACCACCGUGAAUACGUUCUCGAGUCUUGUACUCACAAAUAACUGUGCUC
rnacentral:rRNA from 1 species